GACGAACGCUGGCGGCGUGCUUAACACAUGCAAGUCGAGCGGUAAGGCUCCUUCGGGAGUACACGAGCGGCGAACGGGUGAGUAACACGUGAGCAAUCUGCCCUUCACAUCGGGAUAACCACCGGAAACGGUGGCUAAUACCGAAUACGACCACCUCAGGCAUCUGAUGGUGGUGGAAAGUUCUGGCGGUGAAGGAUGAGCUCGCGGCCUAUCAGCUUGUUGGUGAGGUAAUGGCUCACCAAGGCUUCGACGGGUAGCCGGCCUGAGAGGGUGACCGGCCACACUGGGACUGAGACACGGCCCAGACUCCUACGGGUGGCAG
rnacentral:rRNA from 1 species